rnacentral:rRNA from 1 species
AGAGUUUGAUCCUGGCUCAGAUUGUACGCUGGCGGCAGGCUUCACACAUGCAAGUCGAACGGUAACAGGGAGAAAGCUUGCUUUCUUUGCUGACGAGUGGCGGACGGGUGAGUAAUGCUUGGGAAUCUGGCUUAUGGAGGGGGAUAACUACGGGAAACUGUAGCUAAUACCGCGUAAUAUCUUCGGAUUAAAGGGUGGGACCGUAAGGCCACCUGCCAUAAGAUGAGCCCAAGUGGGAUUAGGUAGUUGGUGGGGUAAAGGCCUACCAAGCCGACGAUCUCUAGCUGGUCUGAGAGGAUGGCCAGCCACACUGGAACUGAGACACGGUCCAGACUCCUACGGGAGGCAGCAGUGGGGAAUAUUGCACAAUGGGGGGAACCCUGAUGCAGCCAUGCCGCGUGAAUGAAGAAGGCCUUCGGGUUGUAAAGUUCUUUCGGUGAUGAGGAAGGUGUUUGUUUUAAUAGAACAAGCAAUUGACGUUAGUCACAGAAGAAGCACCGGCUAACUCCGUGCCAGCAGCCGCGGUAAUACGGAGGGUGCGAGCGUUAAUCGGAAUGACUGGGCGUAAAGGGCACGCAGGCGGUGACUUAAGUGAGAUGUGAAAGCCCCGGGCUUAACCUGGGAAUUGCAUUUCAUACUGGGUCGCUAGAGUAUUUUAGGGAGGGGUAGAAUUCCACGUGUAGCGGUGAAAUGCGUAGAGAUGUGGAGGAAUACCGAAGGCGAAGGCAGCCCCUUGGGAAUAUACUGACGCUCAUGUGCGAAAGCGUGGGGAGCAAACAGGAUUAGAUACCCUGGUAGUCCACGCUGUAAACGCUGUCGAUUUGGGGAUUGGGCUUAGAGCUUGGUGCCCGUAGCUAACGUGAUAAA